rnacentral:rRNA from 1 species
CGCGUAGGCGGGCAUUUAAGUUGUGGGUGAAAUCCCGAGGCUCAACCUCGGAGCUGCCUGCAAAACUGGAUGCCUGGAGGUAUGGAGAGGGAAGUGGAAUUCCUGGUGUAGCGGUGAAAUGCGUAGAUAUCAGGAGGAACACCCGUGGCGAAGGCGGCUUCCUGGCCAUAUCCUGACGCUGAGGUGCGAAAGCUAGGGGAGCGAACG